rnacentral:rRNA from 1 species
GACGAACGCUGGCGGCGUGCCUAAUACAUGCAAGUCGAACGAGAGCGGCCGGUGCUUGCACUGGUCAAUCUAGUGGCGAACGGGUGAGUAACACGUGGGUAACCUGCCCAUCAGAGGGGGAUAACAUCCGGAAACGGAUGCUAAAACCGCAUAGGUCUUCGAACCGCAUGGUUUGAAGAGGAAAAGAGGCGCAAGCUUCUGCUGAUGGAUGGACCCGCGGUGCAUUAGCUAGUUGGUGAGGUAACGGCUCACCAAGGCCGUGAUGCAUAGCCGACCUGAGAGGGUGAUCGGCCACAUUGGGACUGAGACACGGCCCAAACUCCUACGGGAGGCAGCAGUAGGGAAUCUUCCGCAAUGGACGCAAGUCUGACGGAGCAACGCCGCGUGAGUGAAGAAGGUUUUCGGAUCGUAAAACUCUGUUGUUAGAGAAGAACAAGUGCUAGAGUAACUGUUAGCGCCUUGACGGUAGCUAACCAGAAAGCCACGGCUAACUACGUG